rnacentral:rRNA from 1 species
GGGAUAAGCCAGCGCUGAAUCUGGUACCCACGGAUGCUAAGAAAUGUAGCGUUGGGACGAGACAUUGCCUGUACUUGAUGAUCAUCCAAGUCCCUCUUGAACGGGGCCAUUGCCCAAGGAGGGUGCUAGGCCCGUACGAUGAUUUUGUGCGUUUCGUCCGUAGAGUCGGGUGCUUGGGAGUGCAGCCCAAAUCAGGUGGUAACUCCAUCUAAGGCUAAAUAUGACCACGAGACCGAUAGCGAACAAGUACCGUGAGGGAAAGUGAAAAGAACUGAAGAGAGAGUUCAAUAGUACGUGAAACCUCUCGGGGGUAAGCGGGCAGAACUUGUAAGUAUUGAGAUUCAGACUUAGUUUGAUGGCUGAGAGAUGUUGUUCGUUGUGUAUUCUUUUGAUGAUGCGUCGCAUUUCUUUUUGUCGGGUUGCAUGCAACUGAUAGGUAUUGAGUAACUGUGGAGCCUUGUUCAAGUCUUUUACCAACUACUUAUGCGGUGAGCAUGUGUUCACGGUCAAAUAUGAUUACGAGCAGGGUGUAUGUUGUGUAUGGACGAGUAAUCGUAUGGUUGUCGGUUGGCAAUGUUCAUUGCAAUCUAAAGCAUGCGUGGUCUGCCUGUCCCGUCUUGAAACACGGACCAAGGAGUCUAACAUGUACGCAAGUCAUUGAGAACUCGCGUAAUGAAAGUGAGAUGAGGAGAGAUCUGCGCAUCUU